UCGACUGUUUAUCAAAAACAUAGCCAUAAGUAAACGUUUAUGGUAUUAUCUGCCCGGUGAAAAUUUUAACGGCCGCAGUACCUUGACUGUGCAAAGGUAGCAUAAUCAUUUGACUUUUAAAUGGAGCCUGGAAUGAAAGAAAGCACGUAGACAACUUGUCUUGCUUACAAUAUUUCAAAAUUAUUAAAUGAGUGAAAAUACUCAUUGUUUAUAAAAUAGACGAGAAGACCCUUAGAAUUUUAAAAAUAUAUAAGGUUAAUCUUGUAAGAUUUUUUGUUGGGGCAACAAUAUUUCAUUUAAUAAAUAUUAUAAGGAUAAAUUAGUCGAUUUAAUAAUUAUAGAAAAAUUACCUAAGGGAUAACAGCAUAAUUUUUAUAGUAAGCUUGUGAC
rnacentral:rRNA from 1 species